rnacentral:rRNA from 1 species
GACGUAGGAGGCGAGCGUUGUCCGGAUUUACUGGGCGUAAAGCGUGUGUAGGUGGUUGUCAUAGUCAGGCGUGAAAGCCUUGAGCUCAACUCAAGAAAUGCGCUUGAUACUGGGCAGCUAGAGGACCGGAGAGGAUAGUGGAAUUCCCAGUGUAGUGGUGAAAUACGUAGAGAUUGGGAAGAGCACCAGUGGCGAAGGCGGCUAUCUGGACGGUUUCUGACACUAAGACACGAAAGCGUGGGGAGCAAACAGG